rnacentral:tmRNA from 1 species
GGGGGUGUCACGGAUUCGACCUUGUGUCGUAGUUUGGGGCUGCAUGUCGGAGAUGAUGGAGGCUCCGUAUCAAUCCAUCUCAAAUAAUAAUUGGCGAAGAACAAUUCGCUCUUGCUGCUUAGUUCAGCAACGUUUCUACCCUGACACCUGCUAAGGAAUAGAAGCGUCGACUUGCAGGCAUAGUUGAUAAAUUGGUUUCCGCUUAUCAGCUGUAUUUAGGAAACCUGGGAGCUGAUUAGUCUGCUUAGAGACGAUUCAGUAACGACAAUAAAUUCAAAGCUAAACAUGUAGAUGCCCCAUAUGAAAGCACGAGGGACGCGGGUUCGACUCCCGCCACCUCCACCA